CCUACGGGGGGCUGCAGUAGGGAAUCUUUCACAAUGGGCGCAAGCCUGACCCAGCAACGCCGCGUGAAGGAAGAAGGCUUUCGGGUUGUAAACUUCUUUUGUCAGGGAAGAGUAGAAGACGGUACCUGACGAAUAAGCCACGGCUAACUACGUGCCAGCAGCCGCGGUAAUACGUAGGUGGCAAGCGUUGUCCGGAUUUACUGGGUGUAAAGGGCGUGUAGCCGGGUUGACAAGUCAGAUGUGAAAUCCUGCGGCUUAACCGCAGAACUGCAUUUGAAACUGUUGAUCUUGAGUACUGGAGAGGCAGACGGAAUUCCUAGUGUAGCGGUGAAAUGCGUAGAUAUUAGGAGGAACACCAGUGGCGAAGGCGGUCUGCUGGACAGCAACUGACGGUGAGGCGCGAAAGCGUGGGGAGCAAACAGGAUUAGAUACCCCGGUAGUC
rnacentral:rRNA from 1 species